CGGACGGGUGAGUAAUGUCUGGGAAACUGCCCGAUGAGGGGAUAACUACUGGAAACGGUAGCUAAUACCGCAUAACGUCGCAAGACCAAAGAGGGGGACCUUCGGGCCUCUUGCCAUCGGAUGUGCCCAGAUGGGAUUAGCUAGUAGGUGGGGUAACGGCUCACCUAGGCGACGAUCCCUAGCUGGUCUGAGAGGAUGACCAGCCACACUGGAACUGAGACACGGUCCAG
rnacentral:rRNA from 1 species